rnacentral:rRNA from 1 species
UUUGAUCGGAUUAUGAUAGCUUUUUAAUAUAUUUAGUAGCAAAUGGGUGAGUAACACGUACCUAACGUACCUUUUGGCCCGGGAUACCCAUUGGAAACAGCGGGUAAUACCGGAUAUGAUAAAAAAAUGCAUGUUUUUUUAUUAAAAGAAGCCUUUAAAGCUUCACCAAAAAAUGGGGGUGCGCAACAUUAGUUAGUUGGUAGGGUAAAGGCCUACCAAGACGAUGAUGUUUAGCGGGGCCAAGAGGCUGUACCGCCACACUGGGAUUGAGAUACGGCCCAGACUCCUACGGGAGGCAGCAGUAAGGAAUAUUCCACAAUGAGCGAAAGC